rnacentral:lncRNA from 1 species
CCGCUCAGUGACUGAGCUUUCAGUUAUGAGGGGUGUGAUGGGUGCCCAAGGGUGCCCCUUCCACCCAGAGCCCUUCAGCACUCGGCUUGGGAGUUGGACUUGAGUUUGAGUCUGCGUCCUACUCUUUACCAGCUCAGGACCCAGGAAGAUGAUUUUGUCUUUAUUUUUUUUAAAUUUUUUAUUAAAGUAUAGUUGAUUUACAAUGUUCUGUCAAUUUCUACUGUAAAGCAGAGUGACCCAGUCAUACAAAUAUAGACAUUUUUUUCUCAUUUUAUCCUCCAUCAUGGUCUAUCCCAGGAGCCUGGAUAGAGUUCCCUGUACUGUACAGCAGGACUUCAUUGCUUAUGCAAUCUGAAAGAUACAUGCACCCCCGUGUUCAUUACAGCACUAUUUGCAAUAGCCAGGACAUGGAAACAACCUAAAUGUCCAUUGACAGAUGAAUGGAUUAAGAAGAUGUGGCAUGUGUACACAAUGGAAUACUACUCAGCUAUAAAAAAGAACAAGAUAAUGCCAUUUGCAGCAACAUGGAUAAACUAGAAACUCUCAUACUAAGUUAGAAAGGGAAAGACAAAUACCAUGUGAUAUCACUUAUAUCUGGAAUCUAAUGUACGGCACAGAUGAACUUUUCCACAGAAAAUAAACUCAUGGACUUGGAGAACAGACUUGUGGUUGCCAAGGGGGAGGAUGGACUGGGACUCGGGGGUUAAUAGAUGCAAACUAUGGCUUUGGAGUGGAUAAGCAAUUAGACCCUGCUGUCUAGCACUGGGAGCUAUAUCUUGUCACUUGUGAUGGAGCAGGAUGGAGGAUAAUGUGAGGAAAAGAAUGUAUGUGUCUGUGUGUGUGUGUGUGUGUGUGUGUAUGAUUGGGCCACUUUGCUGUAUAACAGAAAUUGGCAGAACACUGUAAAUCAACUGUAAUUAAAAAAAAACAACAACUUUUUUUUUUUUUUUUGCUUUUUUUUUAGGGCUGCACCUGAGGUAUAUGGAGGUUCCCAGGCUAGGGGUUGAAUCAGAGCUGCAGCCACCGGCCUACACCACAGCCACAUAGGGUCCGAACUGUGUCUGCAACCAACACCCCAGCUCAUGGCAACGCCGGAUCCUUAACCCACUGAGUGAGGCCGGGGAUUGAACCUGCAACCUCAUGGUUACUAGUUGGAUUCGUUUCCGCUGCACCACAAUGGGAACUCCCCCCAAAAUAAAAAUCUUUAAAAAAAAUGUUUGCAUCUGCUAGCCCCAAAUGAGUUCCUCUUUCCGAGACUGAUUUUUCUUUGAAAGGUGGAGAUGACAGUAAGGCCUCACUAGGCUGGGUGAAGCCAGUUGACCAAGGGCCAAUUCCAGGCACAUAGUAGGUGCUCAGUAAGCAGCAGGCCCUCCCUCUAGGUGGUGGGGGGUUGUGGAGAGACCUGAAGUGACCUGGCUUUCUGACGGAGUCCUCCGGGAAUUUUCUGUUGGGUUGUUCAUCAGGAAUCGAGGCGGGAGGGCGCCGGGUUCUGUUGGGUUCAUGCAGUUCCCCUGAGGCUUCAGUCUGGCCACUUCUCCAUCUGUCCUUGGCGACAGACACGUUUGGUUCCCCCCCCCCCGCCCUUAAGCUGUCCCUUGUGGACAGUUCGUACCCUCUGGCGGGUCUCCGUGGGGCUCCCCUGCCUCCACCAGCUCCUCAGCCUGGCCUGUCUACGUUAUCUUCCUCGAAUCGUAAAUUCCUGUCUUGAUUUCCUUUGGCGUCUUUUACCCUAAGAUGCAGCAUAGUGGGAAGUAGGGAGAACAUGGGAAAAAAGUAAAUCUGGACCCAGGUUUCUGGUUUUUUUUUUUUUUUUUGUCUUUUCUAGGGCCGCAUCUGCAGCAUAUGGAGGUUCCCAGGCUAGGGGUUGAAUCGGAGCUGUAGCCACCAGCCAACACCUACAGCCACAGCAACGCGGGAUCCGAGCCCCGUCUGCGACCUACACCACAGUUUAUGGCAAUGCCCGAUCCUUAACCCACUGAGCAAGGCCAGGGAUAGAACCCGCAACCUCAUGGUUCCUAGUUGGAUUCGUUAAUCGCUGCGCCAGAGUAGCAGCAGGAUAGGUUUCUGUUUUGACUUUACUUUGGGGGCCAGGUAUGUGGUGGCGCCUUACUGUCUCAUGUCUGCUUUCAAGGGCAUCUGCCUUCUGCCAGUGACAGCGGCUCCAGCCCCUUGGUUAGAGCCUCGGGUCGCAGUAAAUGAGAGAACAGACCGGGCAAGGCUGGAACCCAGCAGCCCUGCCAUCUGCAGGCAGCACUGCUUUGACCCUGAUGGUUGGGGGUGGGGUCCGGACAGCCCAGAGCCAGGGAGUAGGGGGGGGGUCAGCAUUGUCUCCCAGCCCCCUCCUGCUCCUCUCUGGGGCCAGGGUUCCUAGGACAGGGUCUCACCACCUCUUGGAUUGAGAACCAGACGGGGAAUCGGGGCAGAGGAGAGACAAGAUGAAGCACAGCAGGCUCGGAGCCCAAACAGCUCGUGUUUUCUGGCCUAAAUGCAGACAUUCGUGACAGGCAGCUGUGUCGGCUAAGUCAUGUUCAGAGCCAUGUUUUCACGGCUGGAAGUAAAAUUGGGGCUGACAUUCCGGGGCAUUUCUGGGGAGUCCUGAGACGGGCACGGUGGAAAGGGGAAUGGGGGUGGCCUCCAUUCGGGAAAAGGUCUUGGGAAACAGACAGAAUGUUCUCCGUGAAGGGAUGGUACACGACCUUCCAGAUAAGCAGGGCCAACAAGCAGACUCUUCCAUGAAGCAUGGCAGGUGCGGGCCUGUCUCAGGAGGGGCGGGUGGCAGGACACGAGGUACAAUGGCAGUGAACCUGGCGCUGGACGUGUCCCCGCAGCUCUGGGGCUUUACACAAAGCGGCUGCAGGCUCCCAGGCUUUACACAAACCGUAGCCAAACCCUGGGUAAGUCCUGCCCAGCCCUUAUCAAAGCCGGGGGACGUGGGAAGACAUUUCCAGAAAUAUUUUCACCAAUAAGGAUCAGAAGGGUGAUUCCUGCUUCUCCAAAAAUUAACUCGGAUUCUUUAGCUCCCACUCCCAGCACCUAAUCCUUCCCCACGCAGCAGCUUCAGCCGGAAAAUAGAGCUCGUGAUUGGCCAGGGGAGCCUUCCUGUCUUGGUGUCAAGGGGGAGCUGGUGGGAAAGCUUUUAAGGCCCAGAAGCCCGAGAUGAAAGGGGAACUUCCAGCCCCCAGAUGCUGGGGUGCCACCUCCCACACAGGCAGGGCAGCGAACCCUCCCUGGGAACGAGGCCUGGCUGACUCUGACCUGGGCCCCGAGGGACCCUUGCUGGCCCCGUGCUGUUGCUGCACCGAUUUGGGGGUGGGGGGCGGGAGGGCCGGGGACUCAUCCGCUCUGAAGGGCUUUUCCGCUCGGUGGCCUGGGGCCCUCUGGCCCCUGGUGGGAUUUGUCCUUCACGUUAGGCCAAGUCCCAAGCCAUGCGUCCCCCAGGACGGCAGGGCCUGGCUCAGCUCGCUGCAGGCAUCUGUCACCACCCACUCGCUCUGAGUCAUUCCACACUUAUCUGCACAAAUCCCAGAGCCUCAAAAUACGCUUUCUGCUUGGCCCCCAGCGCAGAUCGGGAAGGCUCGGAAAGAGGGGCGGGGAGGUGGGACACGCUCUGAUGGGCCUCGGGGUGGGGGGCUCGGAGGGCUCGGCGUGCCCCACUUGGGGCCAAGAACCUCACUUCCAUCUGCUGGGAGAGCUUCGAGGGGCCUGGGAGAGGAGGGGGCGGCAGUUUCUCCCCCUCACCUCCGCCUGGGAUCCCCUGGGGCCGGUUAAGAUGUGCGCUCCAGGGUCCCCCCUACCCCCACCCAACUGAAUGGAGGUUCCCAGCAGAGUCUUCUGUGCCCCGCAGAUCGGCUUUGCAGGAGAGGAAUCGGUAUUUAGAGUGUGUGUACUGGAACCAUCCUUUUUCCCUCCUCCUCAUUUAUCUCAAAAGAAGAUUCUAGAGCUUUUUGCCCAAGAUCCAACCUGGCACUGAGGCUGGCAACUUCCUGCUCCAAAUCAGUUUUCUCUGAUUUCACUCGUGGAGAAAGAUAAGGAAAUCAUUGUGCAAUUGCCAAACAAACAAACAACCCCCCCAAAAAAAACAAAAACCCGCAAAGAAUAUUUUUCAGUAAUCCCCAGUGCCCAGGUGCUCUGCUUAAUCCAGAGUCCUGACGGAGCCCUUGGCCUCGCCUCACCUGGAUGCUAACUUUCGGGAGUCCAGCACACGCACUCAACAAUGAAGUCAGGGAGUUCCCGUUGUGGCUUAGCCAGUUAAGAACCUGACUAGCAUCCAUGAGGAUGCGGGUUCCAUCCCUGGCCUCGCUCAGAGGGUUAAGGAUCCAGUGUUACUGUGAGCUGUGGUGUAGGUCACAGAUGCAGCUUGGAUCUGGCCUUGCUGUGGCUGUGGUGUAGGCCGGCAGCUGUAGCUCUGAUUCGACCCCCAGCCUGGGAACCUCCGUAUGUCGCACCUGUGGCCCUGAAAGAAAAACAAACAUACAAACAAUGAAGUCAGCCUGACAUCACCCAGCUCUGACACCGGAAGUACUCUAGGGUUUCAGUAACCACCGCGUUGGCACUAUCUGGAAUGCCAGGGAGUAAAGACAUGCGAUGACAUAAGCUGACUGUGGGCAGCGUUCUUCAUUUUAAAUGUGCACGUGUUUUUAGUGCUCGGUGAGCCUUACUCUUCCUGCCUGGCAGGAGGGAAAGGCAUGGCUUAUGGGGAGGAGUCAUGGCCUCAGCCCCGGGGCACCCCUUCCCCAUUCCCAGAACCCCUCCUGGGCUCCCCAAACUGGCCACACUCAGGCCCUUUUUCUCUCUGACCAUCCCCACCGCACACACAUUUCUCUCUCCUGGCUUUCAGCGUCCUCGUCUGAGAUUAGCUAAUCCAAUCAACUGCCAGUUCAGAGAACGGCUUAGUUUCGUGAGGUCUCUCUCCUGGUUAUUUAAAUACGGCCUUGACCCAAAGAAGAGGUCGCGGGAUAGGAAAUGUAAGCACCUUUGUCGGUUUGUGACAUCUCAGACUUGGGCAUUUACCUGUGGGAGGAACUGGGCACUUGGGGUCCUCCUGGAUCUGUAGCGGUAGUGUGUCUAAAAGGGGUUCUGGAAGGGGACACGCGGGCCAGCCAGAUCCCAGGGAAGGGACAGCUGCGCCCUCCCUGAUACAUGUAACAAGGUGCUUUGGCACCAGGAGGGCAAUGGAAAUGAGAAAUUUUGCUAGGAAAUUAAGUAUAGAACUGUCCUAUAACACAUAGCACAGCUGCUUCCUGGAGAUUCUCCUCCCAUGGCUUGAAAAAGCAUAUUCAAGAAUUCUCGCUGUAGCACAGUGGCUUAAGAAUCCAACUGCAGUGGCUUGGGUAGCUGCAGAGGUGAGGGUUCGAUCCCUGGUCCAGCAUAGUAGGUUAAAGGAUCUGGCAUUGUUGUAGCUGUGGCAUAGGUUGCAGCUGCAGCGCAGUUCAAUCCCUGGCCCAGAAACUUCCAUGUGUCCUAAGUACAGCCAUUAGAAAAUAAACAAAUAAAUCAACCAACCAACAGGCAAACUCAAUAUUCCAGGGUUAAUAACAUGGUCGCUUUCUCUUGUUGACUGCUUGUUUUUCUUUUUCUCCUCUAUGGCAAAAGGGUGGGUGGCAGUUGGCCGGUCACAUUUUGGUCCGCCUUCCUGGUAUAGAGUUUACAGAGAGUGAAAUUUACCAACUUUAUGAAUACAUUGACACGGGCUGGAGUUCCCAUUGUGGUGCAGCAGACAUGAACCCAACUAGGACCCGUGAGGAUGCAGGUUCGAUCCUUGGCCUCACUCAGUGGGUUGAGGAUCUGGUGUGGCCGGGAGCUCUGCUGUAGGUCACAGACUCAGCUGGAAUCCUGCAUUGUGGUGGCUGCAGUGUAGGCCGGCAGCUGUAGCUCUGAUUUGACCCCUAACCUGGGAUCUUCCAUAUGCUGCAGGUGUGGCCCCCCAAAGACCAAAAAAUAAAAA